GCUCAGCCUCUGGGUAUUAAUCUGCUGAGCUGGUGGCCACCUAAAUACAAUCGUCCUGUUCCCCUCAUUGGUCUCUCCGGUCUCCUGAUUCCAGCCACAUUUUGGUGAGCCAGCCAGGAGUGAAGACGACAGGUUUGCUGUCUCCUUUGCCUGUGGGUCUGGGGCCCCAGCCUGGGGGAGACCCGUGACUCCAGGCAUGCUAUCAGGACAACUUCAACCCGAGGGGAGAUCAGCUCUCCCGCAACCUGGUGCCGCUCUCUGACAGCACAACAGAACCUAAGGGGCUACAGGAUGAUUCAAGGAACAGUGUGCUACAGGACCUCGGUAUUCCUGCUGAGAGUCAUUUCCUGUGCUGGAUUUACCAUCACAGGGACCAGAUUUAUAGAAAAAUGAACAUGUAUUGUUGCUAAAUGGAGUUGGUCAUGGAGUGGAAACUAACAAUAUGUUCACCUCAAGAAGACCCUCACCAGAUGCAGCCCCUCUAUGUUGGACUUCCCAGCCUCCGGAAGUUAGAAAUGUGCUACAACCACUCAAGGUCUGCAAACAGAUUCCUAUUUAGAUGUUGUUGAGAGAUGGGGUCUCGCUCUGUCCUGGAGUGCAAUGGCACGAUCUUGGCUCACUGCAACCUCCGCCUCCCAGGUUCAAGCAAUUCUCCUGCCUCAGCCUCCCGAGUAGCUGGGACUACAGGCACACGCCAACACGCCAGGCUAAUUUUUUGUAUUUUUAAUAGAGAUGGAGUUUCACCAUGUUCCCCAGGCUGGUCUUGAACUCCUGAGCUCAGGCAAUCCACCUUCCUCUGCCUCCCAAAGUGCUAGGAUUACAGGCGUGAGCCACCGCGCCCGGUCUAUUUAUUUUCUUAACAGGGUAUUUUGCUAAGAAGUUUUACAUUUUGGUGAAGUCUAGUUUUUCCAUUUUUUUAUUAUGCUUAUUAUUUCUUAUGACUUCAGAUUUCCUUCCCUUCACUUAAUUAAUGGAGGUAUUGUAGUAUGAUUUCUUUUACCUUGUAUUUUGAAAUUUUACCUUUUACUCUGUGGUCCAUCUUGAAUUAUCUUUUAUGUAUGAUGUGAGGAUGUGAGAUUACUUUUCUUCAUAUGAAAAUGCAAUUUUUCCACCUUCCAUUCUUGAAGAAAUUAACUUUCCCCAUUUGACUGUUUUGGUGUAUUGGACAGUAAGUUUAAAAAUAUGUUUUAAAAAGUAUUUGCCAUGUUUAAAAAAUGUUUAGAAAGAAAGGCCACAUUCUUGUCUUUUUCCUUAUCUUAGAGGAAAAGGCUUCAACUUUUCACAUUGAGUAUGAUGUUAGCUGUUGGAUUGUCAUACAUGGAUUUUCUUGUUGGUGAACUUUUCUUCUAUACCUAAUUUGUAAUUGAUAAUAAUAAUAUAUUGUUUAUAUCAAAACAGCUAAAAAAGGGAUUUUAAAUGCUCUCACCACAAAGAAAUGAUAGUAUUUGGGUGGGAUAAAUAUGUUAAUUGACCAUAUUUGAUUAUUCCACAAUGUACAUGUAACAAAACACCACAUUGUACCCCAUAAAUAUAUAAAAUUAUUAUUUGCAAUUAGAAAUAAAAUAUAACUUAAAAAAGAAAA
ensembl:lncRNA LINC00278 long intergenic non-protein coding RNA 278